rnacentral:rRNA from 1 species
AGAGUUGAUCAGUGCUCAGGACACGCUGGCGGCACGCUUAACACAUGCAAGUCGAACGAACGAAGGAGAGCUUGCUCUCCGGAGUUAGUGGCGGACGGGUGAGUAACACGUGAGCAACCUGCCUUCGAGCGAGGAUAAUGGCUGGAAACGGCCACUAAUACCUCAUAAUGCAGCGGUACCGCAUGAUACUGCUGCCAAAGAUUUAUCACUUGAAGAUGGGCUCGCGUCCGAUUAGUUAGAUGGUGAGGUAACGGCUCACCAUGACCGCGAUCGGUAGCCGUACUGAGAGGUAGAACGGCCACAUUGGGACUGAGACACGGCCCAGACUCCUACGGGAGGCAGCAGUGGGGAAUAUUGCACAAUGGAGGAAACUCUGAUGCCAGCGAUGCCGCGUGAGGGAAGAAGGCUUUCGGGUUGUAAACCUCUGUUCUCAGGGACGAUAAUGACUGUACCUGAGGAGAAAGCUCCGGCUAACUACGUGCCAGCCGCCGC